UACCAGCACCCCGAGUGGUCGGGGCGAUUAUUGGGCCUAAAGCAUCCGUAGGCGGUUCUGCAAGUCUUCCGUUAAAUCAACCUGCUUAACAGAUGGGCUGCGGAGGAUACUAUGGAGCUAGGAGGCGGGAGAGGCAAGCGGUACUUAGUGGGUAGGGGUAAAAUCCGUUGAUCCAUUGAAGACCACCAGUGGCGAAGGCGGCUUGCCAGAACGCACUCGACGGUGAGGGAUGAAAGCUGGGGGAGCAAACCGG
rnacentral:rRNA from 1 species